UUUGGAGUCGUUAGUGAGGUUUUGGUGGUCAAGAAAAGAAGCGUUGCUUGUAUGAAUAUUUGAUUUGAAUUUCUGAAGUUAAUAUCCUACUUACAAUUAUAUGUUGAAGUUACCCAUGAGGUCGAUUUGACGAAAAAUAUAAAAUCAUUUCAUUCGAUUAUAUACACUUCUUACACAUAGAAAAGCAUAUAACUACUCCGGAAUUUUCUUCAUGAUUUCGAGUAACAGAAUGGAAAUUUCCUCGGUUUUAAACUACAACACGAAGUGUUUCGAUGCCCAAUACAUAUGACAACUUAUUUCAAAUUCUAAACGAAUGAAAUGCUCUUUAAAUGCACAGGAAUAGUUGAUGUUUAU